AAUCCUAUGGUUUUAAUGUUAGACAAGUUUUGCCCAGUUAUUUUUUAAAAGGCCCCAAAACAAAGACUGUGCUAAGGUAGCAUUAUAAAUUGGCUUUUAAUUGAGGUCUAGAAUGAAAGAAUAUAUGGAUAAAAAUUGUCUCUUUAUAAUUAAUUUAAAAUUGUUUAAUUAGGUGAAAAGACCUAUAAUAAUAUUAGAAAGACGAGAAGACCCUAAGAAUUUUUUUUUUUUUGUUGGGGUGACAUAAUAACAAUUUAAACUUUCUUUCUUUUACAUGUCAAUUUAAAGUAAGAAAAAAUUACCUUAGGGAUAACAGCAUAAUAUUUUUAUUUGAUUAUGACCUGGGGGUUGGACUAGGAACCUAAUAAUUAACAAUUAAACUGGUCUGUUCUGUUCGAACAUUUUUUCCU
rnacentral:rRNA from 1 species